CUGUGAUGGAGUUGGCACCAGAAGCCCUUUUUCUAGAUCUUUAGAUGACAGUAAAGCCUUGAUUCUAGUCAGGCUUUUGACAGUCCCACAUGACACUCUCAUAAGCAAACUACCAAAGCAGCGUCUAGAUGAAAUGACCAGAAGAAUCAAGCAAUGCUCUCUGGAAACUGGAUCUGCAUUAUCUAGCUCUGGUGGACGGUCUCAGAAGUUUCACAUCCCAGAAACAAAACAACGCGGAAAGCUGAUGCAAAAACUCUAUAGAAAUCUUCACUGGCCUUGUCUACUCUACCACAGAAUACUGCUCACCUGUCUGGUCACACAGCUCGACAUGUCACUUCUGGACUUCCCACCACCAUGCAGAUCACUACAGGCACAGUAAAAACACGACAAUUGUGGCUUUCUGUACCGACACAUCCACACACAACAAAUCUGCUGCAACAUGAGAAUCCUUUGAGUCCCAUCGGAUUUGAGGGAACAACGAUCUUCCAAUACAUGAAGCCCUAAAUAACAUACCAAGAUUCUGACUGAAAUCUAGAAAAAUCUUGUUCCUUUGCAGUGCAAGAGCUUGAAGACUCAGGGUUCUUCCCCAAUCAUCAAGAUGAAAGGUCGCUAAUGUCCCAAACAAACACCUCAUUAAGGACCCAACUAAAGAAUCCUGUGGCUUCUCAGUCCCAUGGAAACUACGGUCCACUUUGAACUGCAUCUGUGUAUCACAGGGCAGAUGCACCUAGCUCCUCCAUACAUGGGGACAGACAAUGCUAUUUGUGAUUGGAGAAACGAACUUCAAACUAUAGAACAUCUGGUCAAGUAGUGUCCUAAAAUGAUUGUAUCUUGAUAUGCUCCACCCAGUUUGUGUCACCUGACAACUAGUUGGAUUGCCAGCCUAGACUUUGACAUCAAACAGUGCUGUUUUUAAGCCAUAGAAAAGAAGAACUCAUCUCUUUCCCGUUUUCCCUUUUUAAAAAAUCAGACUAGUUUUUGUACUCUAUGAGCCCUGAAACAUGGCCAAUAUG